rnacentral:rRNA from 1 species
GAUCCUGGCUCAGGAUGAACGCUAGCUACAGGCUUAACACAUGCAAGUCGAGGGGCAUCAGUUUGGUUUGCUUGCAAACCAAAGCUGGCGACCGGCGCACGGGUGAGUAACACGUAUCCAACCUACCUCAUACUCGGGGAUAGCCUUUCGAAAGAAAGAUUAAUAUCCGAUAGCAUAUAUUUUCCGCAUGGGUUUUAUAUUAAAGAAAUUCGGUAUGAGAUGGGGAUGCGUUCCAUUAGUUUGUUGGGGGGGUAACGGG